rnacentral:rRNA from 1 species
GAUGAACGCUGGCGGCGUGCCUAAUUCAUGCAAGUCGAGCGAACAGACGAGGAGCUUGCUCCUCUGACGUUAGCGGCGGACGGGUGAGUAACACGUGGAUAACCUACCUAUAAGACUGGGAUAACUUCGGGAAACCGGAGCUAAUACCGGAUAAUAUAUUGAACCGCAUGGUUCAAUAGUGAAAGACGGUUUUGCUGUCACUUAUAGAUGGGUCCGCGCCGCAUUAGCUAGUUGGUAAGGUAACGGCUUACCAAGGCGACGAUGCGUAGCCGACCUGAGAGGGUGAUCGGCCACACUGGAACUGAGACACGGUCCAGACUCCUACGGGAGGCAGCAGUAGGGAAUCUUCCGCAAUGGGCGAAAGCCUGACGGAGCAACGCCGCGUGAGUGAUGAAGGUCUUCGGAUCGUAAAACUCUGUUAUUAGGGAAGAACAAAUGUGUAAGUAACUAUGCACGUCUUGACGGUACCUAAUCAGAAAGCCACGGCUAACUACGUG